rnacentral:rRNA from 1 species
ACGAACGCUGGCGGCGUGCUUAACACAUGCAAGUCGAGCGGAAAGGCCCUUCGGGGUACUCGAGCGGCGAACGGGUGAGUAAUACGUGAGUAAUCUGUCCUUGACUCUGGGAUAGUUCUGGGAAAUCGGGAUUAAUACUGGAUAUGAUUAUUUUAGGCAUUUUUGGUGGUGGAAAGUUUUUCGGUCAGGGAUGUGUUCGCGGUCUAUCAGUUUGUUGGUGGGGUAAUGGUCUAUCAAGGUGAUGACGGGUAGCCGGCCUGAGAGGGUGAUCGGUUACAUUGGGACUGAGACAUGGUUCAGAUUUUUAUGGGAGGUAGUAGUGGGGAAUAUUGUGCAAUGGGGGAAAUUCUGACGUAGCGACGCCGCGUGUGGGAUGAAGGUCUUCGGGUUGUAAACCGUUUUCAGUAGGGACGAAGCGUGAGUGACGGUAUCUGCAGAAGAAGCGCUGGCUAACUACGUGCCAGCAGUCGUGGUAACACGUAGGGCGCGAGCGUUGUCCGGAAUUAUUGGGCGUAAAGAGCUCGUAGGCGGUUUGUUGCGUCCGCUGUGAAAGCCCGGGGCUUAAUCCCGGGUCGGCAGUGGAUACGGGCAGGUUAGAGGUAGGUAGGGGAGAAUGGAAUUCUCGGUGUAGCGGUGAAAUGCGCAGAUAUCGGGAGGAACACCGGUGGCGAAGGCGGUUCUCUGGGUUUUAUUUGACGUUGAGGAGCGAAAGCGUGGGGAGCGAAUAGGAUUAGAUAUUCUGGUAGUCCACGCCGUAAACGUUGGGCGUUAGGUGUGGGAUUCUUCCACGGAUUCCGUGCCGCAGCUAACGCAUUAAGCGUUUUGUCUGGGGAGUACGGCCGCAAGGCUAAAACUCAAAGGAAUUGACGGGGGUUCGCACAAGCGGCGGAGCAUGUUGCUUAAUUCGACGCAACGCGAAGAAUUUUAUCAAGGUUUAACAUGUAGGGAAAAGUCGUAGAGAUAUGGUGUUCGUAAGGGUUUUGUACAGGUGGUGCAUGGUUGUCGUCAGCUCGUGUCGUGAGAUGUUGGGUUAAGUUCCGCAACGAGCGCAAUUUUCGUCCUAUGUUGCCAGUGGGUCAUGUUGGGGAUUCAUAGGAGAUUGUUGGGGUCAAUUCGGAGGAAGGUGGGGAUGACGUCAAGUCCUCAUGUUUUUUAUGUCUUGGGCUGCAAACAUGUUAUAAUGGUUGGUACAAAGGGUUGCGAGAUCGUAAGGUGGAGUGAAUUCCAAAAAGUCGGUCUCAGUUCGGAUUGGGGUCUGUAACUCGACCCCAUGAAGUCGGAGUCGUUAGUAAUCGCGAAUUAGCAACGUCGUGGUGAAUACGUUUUCGGGUUUUGUACAUAUUGUUCGUCACGUCACGAAAGUCGGUAACACUCGAAGUCGGUGGUCUAAUUUUUCGUGGGAGGGAGUUGUCGAAGGUGGGAUCGGCGAUUGGGACGA